GGGCUUGUAGCUCAGCCUGGUUAGAGCGCUGGUCUUAUAAGCCAGAUGUCGAGAGUUCAAAUCUCUCCAGGCCCA
rnacentral:tRNA from 1 species